AGCAGCCGCGGUAAUUCCAGCUCCAAUAGCGUAUAUUAAAGUUGUUGCAGUUAAAAAGCUCGUAGUUGAAUUUCGGGAUUGACGUGAUGGUCGUGCCUUAAGGGGUAUGAACUGUCGCAGUUGAUUUCUCACCUUCUGGAGAAGCUUGAUGUCCUUAAUUGGGUGUCAUGUGGAACCAGGACCUUUACCUUGAAAAAAUUGAGUGUUUAAAGCAGGCAUUUUGCUCGAAUACAUUAGCAUGGAACAAUAGAAUAGGACGGCAUGGUUCUAUUUUGUUGGUUUCUAGGAUCACCGUAAUGAUUAAUAGGGAUAGUUGGGGGCAUUAGUAUUCAAUUGUCAGAGGUGAAAUUCUUGGAUUCAUUGAAGACUAACUACUGCGAAAGCAUUUGCCAAGGAUGUUUUCAUUAAUCAAGAACGAAAGUUAGGGGAUCGAAGACGAUCAGAUACCGUCGUAGUCUUAACCAUAAACUAUGCCGACUAGGAAUCAGACGAUGUUAAUUUUUAAUGUAC
rnacentral:rRNA from 1 species